rnacentral:rRNA from 1 species
CAGUCGCCGCGGUAAUACAGAGAGUGCAAGCGUUAAUCGGAAUUACUGGGCGUAAAGCGCGCGUAGGUGGUUCGCCAAGUUGGAUGUGAAAUCCCCGGGCUCAACCUGGGAACUGCAUCCAAAACUGGCGAGCUAGAGUAUGGUAGAGGGUGGUGGAAUUUCCUGUGUAGCGGUGAAAUGCGUAGAUAUAGGAAGGAACAUCAGUGGCGAAGGCGACCACCUGGACUGAUACUGACACUGAGGUGCGAAAGCGUGGGGAGCAAACAGGAUUAGAUACCCCGGUAGUCCCUGUCUCUUAUAC